ensembl:lncRNA
GUGGUGGGUCAUCGCAGAGCCGGCUGUGGACCCAAGGAUGUUUUUAAGAGGCAAGAUCUGAGAACAGCUGGGAAAUAGGGAUGGACAGGGGGCACUGCAGUAUGGUGUGAUUGACCUGAUAAUUCUUGGCAACUCUGCACAGAUUAAGCUUUCUUUCUUGAUACCAGCAUUGGACAGUGAUAACAAGCUUGGCCCAGACGGGUGGUGUGAGAAGCUGGGACAACAUGUGGCUCAAAGCUUGUUCGGAGGGAGUUAUCUGAGACAUGAGAAGCUGGAGAAUGGUUGGCUCAAAGCAUGUUCAAUGAUAGCCAUCCAAGGCAUGACCUGCCCAACAAGUUUUUGGAGUUAAUGGCUGACUACUGCGAGCACAGUGGCAAAUGAGCCCCAUGAGAGUGACAACAUGAACUGCAUUAACCAGUUGCCUGGUCCCUGAGUCAUUACAGCUCAACAAAGCACCAAGAAAGACACGGAAAAGGGAACAGUGGGAAUGUCCAGCUAGCAGCCAACAAAUUAUGAACGCAUACAAGUUGUCUAUAUUUGCA